rnacentral:rRNA from 1 species
AUGGCCGGCGCUACGGCGGCAAAGGGGAAGCAACGCCACCAGCUGCAGGUCAUAGAUUUGAGCUUGAAGGUGCUCGAUUUUCUCGUGAAGCUUGAAGAUGGUCUCCCCAAUGUUGUCUGCAUCCAGCUUGUGUUUGUUGGUGAAUUCUGCGAUCAUCAUGUAGUUGGAGUUGAGUCCACGCUCCACCAUCCCCUGACACUUGAAAACUUGUUGCUCCAUUGCUUCAAGCCUUGUCUCCACGCUUCCGGUCCCCUUUGGUCCCUCAGCAUCACGGAUGUGCAGCGACCCAUCACGCAUCUCAAUGGUUUGAGGGUGUCGCUACACCUCCGCGAGGUAAGGGUUGAUGACCUUCUCGAAGAACUUGUCCUUGGUGGCACUUGGAGACGUCAUGAUAACCUAGAUCUGUCAGAAAAAACAGCUCGAAAGAAAGACAAGAGAUAA